AAGGGUAUGACUUAGUGGUAGAGUACGUGUUUAGCACACACGAGGUCCUGGGUUCAAUCCUUAGUAUCUCCG
rnacentral:tRNA from 1 species